rnacentral:lncRNA from 1 species
CAUGUACAGUACAUGAUCAGUGACUGAGGCUCCAUCCCUCAUCCGAGCAUUGAAAAUGACACAACUAGUUUUAUGCCUUUCAACAUCGUCAGGCGUGCCAAAGGAGUCGUUCAACAUUUGAAGCAUCUCAUGUGGUUGGGCAUUCUCGAACCUGUGACUGAACUCAUCAUUCAUUACCGCCAGCAUAAUGCACCGAAUGGUGGUGCGAUCGUUGAGCCACUUCUGAUA